GGCUAAAGAAGAUGACUUGAAAUCUACUUGAAUAUGAGUCCUUGGCAUCUCCUGGGAGAGAGGGAAUUCCCAUGCAUGCACCUAGAUGUCAUCCCCAUGAUUCAAAUUGUUUGCCAGAGUGCCGCUGGAGGCUUAAACAGUGCCAAAAGAAAGGGCUGACAAGCUUUCUCAGAAUCCCUUCCUGCAAGGACUCUCAUCAUUCCAGCUUGUGUUCAUUUUCACCCAAAAAACUGACCGCUUUUAAAGAGACAGAAGUGGAGAAGAUGCAGAAUUCAGAAAGAUCAUCCAGUUCAGUCCUUCAUAUUAGUAAACGUCUGAAUCAUCCAGAACAAAUACUUGGUUUCUUGAAGACCUGAGAAAGGGUAAGGAUGGGGGAGAAGGGAAAGAUAUAUUGAACACCUAACAAAUGUCUUCUCAACAUCUGCAAUAUCCCUUGAUACUUAAUUCCAUCACCUUCACAUUAAAAAAUUUCUUCCUUCUGCCUAAUUCCAACCUUUCUUCCCUUAUUUUUACUGCAAUUUAUUAUAUUUUCAUUGUCCAGAAUGAUAGAGAACAACUGUUGAGCAAACCUCCUCAAUUUAAUGUAUGUGCAGAUGAAGAUCACAAAUCAAAACAUCCUUUGUGUUCCCCUAAGCCCCCAAACCAACUCCAUUAGCCAUUCUCCAUAUAAUCAUUUUCAUUCUUUCAAAUAUCUUGUAAUUUUCCAUUUUUGCACAUCUCUUUAAGUACAGAAAAAUAAAAUGAAAAGAUUACAGCCAUUGGUCUGUCAUCUGCUUUUCUCUACACUAAAUCAGGUAGGCUUAUUUUCAUAAUGGCAUCAUAUUGCUGACUCAUUCAGAGUUUACUCAACCAAGCCCCAGGUCCUUUCCUUUUGAUUCUCCUGCAUAGAUAGUUCUUCCUCAAAUUGUAUUUAUAAUGUUUACACUUUUGUCCCUAAGUAACUGAGCAAACAUAUUGUGGUUAUAGCCAGGAGAUGUAAGGAAUGAAAGACACAGAUUUUAGAGACUCACACUGAGAAUUACCAGUUCCUUCCAGCACCAAAUAUUAAG
rnacentral:lncRNA from 1 species